AGAAAGAGAAGAAAAUCUCUCAAUUGAGAAAAAACCAAAAAGACAGAUGGAGGAAAUAUCCAGGGAGAAAAAGAAGAGAACGUCCAAAAUUUUUCCCAAAAAUAAAAAUAAUCAAAAUAAAAACAACCAAUCAAAAUAAAAAAAAUUAAAGUUAAAAAUUAAUAACUUUCUUUAACUCAAAACAAAUAGAAGGUGCAAAAAUAAUUCCCUACUAACACACUGGGAGACUCGAACCCGAGACCCUAGACUAAACUAACCCAUAACAACCACCAC
rnacentral:lncRNA from 1 species